rnacentral:rRNA from 1 species
GACGAACGCUGGCGGCGUGCUUAACACAUGCAAGUCGAACGGACAGGCCCUGCUUUUGUGGGGUGCUCGAGUGGCGAACGGGUGAGUAUCACGUGAGUAACCUGCCCUUGACUUUGGGAUAACUUCAGGAAACUGGGGCUAAUACCGGAUAGGAGCUCCUGCUGCAUGGUGGGGGUUGGAAAGUUUCGGCGGUUGGGGAUGGACUCGCGGCUUAUCAGCUUGUUGGUGGGGUAGUGGCUUACCAAGGCUUUGACGGGUAGCCGUCCUGAGAGGGUGACCGGGCAAAAGGGGACUGAGAGAGGGCGCAGAAGGCAACGGGAGGCAGCAGGGGGGAAUAUUGCAGAAUGGGCGGAAGCCUGAUGCAGCAACGCCGCGUGCGGGAUGACGGGCUUCGGGGUGUAAACCGCUUUCGCAUGUGACGAAGCGGGAGUGACGGUAAUGGGUAAAGAAGCACCGGCUAACUACGUG